rnacentral:lncRNA from 1 species
UUGUCUACGAAUACGAAGUUUGAGCGCGCGCGGAUGGUGAUCUGCGGCCGAGGUACCACUGCAAGCAACUUUUCUGCUGGCACAGGCAUGCUCUUGAGCUUUGCAAAGAUAUUCUCUAAUGCUGGCCCAGCCCAUGGCGCAGCACAUUCAUCAAUUGUUGGCUUCUGCAAUUCCUGAACGAUUGCCUGUGCAAUUUUUGUGCAGGUUCCCGGUUUCUCCUCAGAUGUUCUUUUUUCCUUGAUCAUGUUGAGGCCAGUGAAGUACUCUUUCAUUUCAUUUUCUAUGUCUUCUUUCAUUGUCCUGGAGUCCUGCAUAUGGACAAAAAUGAAGAAUGAAGCACCAUGCUUUGUUAAAACCAUAACCUGAAUAGUGCUGCUGUCGUAUGAUGAAUGUUUUGAACUGUUUGGUCAGCUACUUUUGUUACUCUGCUGUUGUUCGCAAAUGUUAAUUGAAGCCAGCUGUUCGAGUAGAGGCUAGAACCAAUUGUAAAUGUGAUUUUAUUGAGGUGAAAGCCUUAAGUGCUUAAUGAAAUGUGAAAUGUGACUGUCCAAUGUUGUCUGCCAUCGGCAACAG